UAGGGAAUCUUCGGCAAUGGGGGGAACCCUGACCGAGCAACGCCGCGGGAGUGAAGAAGGUUUUCGGAUCGUAAAGCUCUGUUGUUAAGGAAGAACGAGUGUGAGAAUGGAAAGUUCAUACUGUGACGGUACUUAACCAGAAAGGGACGGCUAACUACGUGCCAGCAGCCGCGGUAAUACGUAGGUCCCGAGCGUUGUCCGGAUUUAUUGGGCGUAAAGCGAGCGCAGGCGGUUAGAUAAGUCUGAAGUUAAAGGCAGUGGCUCAACCAUUGUAGGCUUUGGAAACUGUUUAACUUGAGUGCAGAAGGGGAGAGUGGAAUUCCAUGUGUAGCGGUGAAAUGCGUAGAUAUAUGGAGGAACACCGGUGGCGAAAGCGGCUCUCUGGUCUGUAACUGACGCUGAGGCUCGAAAGCGUGGGGAGCGAACAGG
rnacentral:rRNA from 1 species